rnacentral:rRNA from 1 species
AUUGAACGCUGGCGGCAGGCCUAACACAUGCAAGUCGAGCGAGCGGCGGACGGGUGCGUAAUGUCUGGGAAACUGCCCGAUGGAGGGGGGUAACUACUGGAAACGGUAGCUAAUACCGCAUACGACCAGCUAUGUGCAGAUGGGAUUAGCUAGUAGGUGGGGUAACGGCUCACCUAGGCGACGAUCCCUAGCUGGUCUGAGAGGAUGACCAGCCACACUGGAACUGAGACACGGUCCAGACUCCUACGGGAGGCAGCAGUGGGGAAUAUUGCACAAUGGGCGCAAGCCUGAUGCAGCCAUGCCGCGUGUGUGAAGAAGGCCUUCGGGUUGUAAAGCACUUUCAGCGGGGAGGCGUUACCCGCAGAAGAAGCACCGGCUAACUCCGUGCCAGCCGCCGCGGUAAUAC